rnacentral:lncRNA from 1 species
AAGGGGGUUAAGAUUAGGUGGGGAUUUCAAUGAGGACUCAUGUCGGCAGCUGAGUUGUAUGAUUCUUCGUAUGGGAGUUGAAUUGUACUUGGUGUAACAACUACUUAGUAUCUGGCAUUGAUAAUCAUUGAAAUAUUUGUGUCCCGCUAUUUGCUAUAUGCGUGUUAAGAGGGUGAUUCCUUUCUCAUGUGUAUAACAAAUAGAUAGGUCAUAGGUAGAGGACAUAGGGUUAAGUACGAGUUCUUAAAACUCAUACUUAUGUGACAUUCUUGACUCAUAGUUAUAUGAAAUAUUUAUGAACCCCUCAGCGAAUGGCCGCCAAAAG